GAUGAUCACGAUGAUGACGACGAAAAAGAUUGUAAAAACGACGACGGAGAAAAUGGUGGUGGUGGAAGUGGCAAGAGUUUCAAACUGUUUGGUGUUUUGCUGAAAGGGAACACGAAGAAGCGGGGUCGUGCUGAGAAUCUUGGGUUUACUGGGCCUGGGCCCCAUGCAAAGGAAAUUAAGAUCUGCAACUGAACAACUAGGAGGUGUUCAUGGUAAGAUCCAUGCGCCUGCGUGCUGCGUGCUGCCUGCCUCUGCAUCUAAUAUGAAGAUAGAGGGUAUCAGAACAAGUCUCUGUAAUCGUCGACGUAUCAUCUGUAAUGUAGUAAUUGUGUUGGGAAUGUAAUAAAGGUGGAUCUUAUAUACAUCCACACAUGCACUUACACAUGUA
rnacentral:misc_RNA from 1 species